GAUGAACGCUGGCGGCGUGCCUAAUACAUGCAAGUCGAGCGAACGGACGAGAAGCUUGCUUCUCUGAUGUUAGCGGCGGACGGGUGAGUAACACGUGGAUAACCUACCUAUAAGACUGGGAUAACUUCGGGAAACCGUAGCUAAUACCGGAUAAUAUUUUGAACCGCAUGGUUCAAAAGUGAAAGACGGUCUUGCUGUCACUUAUAGAUGGAUCCGCGCUGCAUUAGCUAGUUGGUAAGGUAACGGCUUACCAAGGCAACGAUGCAUAGCCGACCUGAGAGGGUGGUCGGCCACACGGGAACUGAGACACGGUCCCGACUCCUACGGGAGGCAGCAGUAGGUAAUAUUCCUCAAUGGGCGAAAUCCUGACGUAUCAACGCUGCGUGAGAGAUGAAGGUCUUCGGAUCGUAAAACUCUGUUAGUAGAGAAGAACAUAUGUGUAAGUAACUGUGCACAGAUUGACGGUACCUAAUAAGAAAGCCACGGCUAACUACGUG
rnacentral:rRNA from 1 species